rnacentral:rRNA from 1 species
GACGAGCGCUGGCGGCGUGCUUAACACAUGCAAGUCGAACGGAAAGGCCCUGCUUUUGUGGGGUGCUCGAGUGGCGAACGGGUGAGUAACACGUGAGUAACCUGCCCUUGACUUUGGGAUAACCUCAGGAAACUGGGGCUAAUACCGGAUAGGAGCUCCUGCUGCAUGGUGGGGGUUGGAAAGUUUCGGCGGUUGGGGAUGGACUCGCGGCUUAUCAGCUUGUUGGUGGGGUAGUGGCUUACCAAGGCUUUGACGGGUAGCCGGCCUGAGAGGGUGACCGGCCACAUUGGGACUGAGAUACGGCCCAGACUCCUACGGGAGGCAGCAGUGGGGAAUAUUGCACAAUGGGCGGAAGCCUGAUGCAGCAACGCCGCGUGCGGGAUGACGGCCUUCGGGUUGUAAACCGCUUUCGCCUGUGACGAAGCGUGAGUGACGGUAAUGGGUAAAGAAGCACCGGCUAACUACGUGCCAGCAGCCGCGGUGAUACGUAGGGUGCGAGCGUUGUCCGGAUUUAUUGGGCGUAAAGGGCUCGUAGGUGGUUGAUCGCGUCGGAAGUGUAAUCUUGGGGCUUAACCCUGAGCGUGCUUUCGAUACGGGUUGACUUGAGGAAGGUAGGGGAGAAUGGAAUUCCUGGUGGAGCGGUGGAAUGCGCAGAUAUCAGGAGGAACACCAGUGGCGAAGGCGGUUCUCUGGGCCUUUCCUGACGCUGAGGAGCGAAAGCGUGGGGAGCGAACAGGCUUAGAUACCCUGGUAGUCCACGCUGUAAACGGUGGGUACUAGGUGUGGGGUCCAUUCCACGGGUUCCGUGCCGUAGCUAACGCUUUAAGUACCCCGCCUGGGGAGUACGGCCGCAAGGCUAAAACUCAAAGGAAUUGACGGGGCCCCGCACAAGCGGCGGAGCAUGCGGAUUAAUUCGAUGCAACGCGUAGAACCUUACCUGGGUUUGACAUGGAUCGGGAGUGCUCAGAGAUGGGUGUGCCUCUUUUGGGGUCGGUUCACAGGUGGUGCAUGGCUGUCGUCAGCUCGUGUCGUGAGAUGUUGGGUUAAGUCCCGCAACGAGCGCAACCCUUGUUCACUGUUGCCAGCACGUUAUGGUGGGGACUCAGUGGAGACCGCCGGGGUCAACUCGGAGGAAGGUGGGGAUGACGUCAAGUCAUCAUGCCCCUUAUGUCCAGGGCUUCACGCAUGCUACAAUGGCUGGUACAGAGAGUGGCGAGCCUGUGAGGGUGAGCGAAUCUCGGAAAGCCGGUCUCAGUUCGGAUUGGGGUCUGCAACUCGACCUCAUGAAGUCGGAGUCGCUAGUAAUCGCAGAUCAGCAACGCUGCGGUGAAUACGUUCCCGGGGCU